UCCCAGAGACUGAACCCAUGUCUCCUGUAUUGGCAGGCGGAUUCUUUACCACUAGCACCACCUGAGAAGCCCAUCACUGAGUAGGUUGUUUGCCCAUCAAAUUGGACCUACAUAUUCCAGAUAGUUUAGCUGAAGUGAGAGUUUAUAUUAGAUAUCAGUGAAGGGUAAAUUUUAGCAAAGUUAAUAUUUAAAAUAAGGGUCAGAAUGAGAAUUUUACCUACCAUUGUGUGGUUUACAAAUUAAUAAGCACAACAUAUUUAUAUGAAAUAGUGAAUUGCAAUUAAUGCAAAUCAUUUUGAAAUUUUGGUUCAGUACUGAGUAAAAAUCCUUGUUGUACUUCAAUAAAAAGUUUGUGGUAAGUGCUCGCCGCGCAGCUCCCCACUCGCCUCCGCGCGCCUCGCUCCUCUCCGACAUGGCAAAAGUAUCCAGCCCUACGGAGACCGAACGAUGCAUGGAGUCUCUGAUUGCUGUUUUCCAAAAGCAUGCUGGAAGGGAUGGUAACAACAGCAGACUCUCCAAGGCCGAGUUCCUAAUCUUCAUGAAUACAGAGCUGGGUGCCUUCAGAAAGAACCAGAAGGACCCUGGUGUCCUUGACCGCAUGAUGAAGAGAUUGGACCUCGACUCUGAUGGGCAGCUAGAUUUCCAAGAACUUCUUAAUCUUAUUGGUGGCCUGGCCAUUGCUUGCCAUGAACCCCUUAUUAAGUCUGCCUCUGGCCAGAAGUAAAUUGGAGGAACCUUUGGGCCUAGCCUCUAGACCCACUCCCUUUCUUUCCAGCCUCGCAGUUAUCUGCUCUUCACAGCCCCCACAUACCCUGAGCCCAGCACACCCACCUACCCAGGCAGGCCACUCCUGUUAGUAAUAAAACAAUAUUGUUUUUUAAAACACA